rnacentral:lncRNA from 1 species
UUUUAACUGGUUUGGUUUCCGGCUUCUCUUUCCCUCAUGGACCUACCUAUGUCAGGCCUCGAGGGAAGAAGAGACUAUAACAAGGAGGAAUGAGCAUCUCCAUUAGACGUGAAGGACCCCAAAGCAAGACUUCUUUGUAUCGUACAUGUGUUGUCACCAGAAAUAGAUCUGACAGAAACCCAGUACUACUUGAACUUAUAGAACUUUUGGGGAAACCACCAGAGCAUUCAUUCAGAGAUCAUUGUUUUACUAUCUCUGCAUCAGGGCAUCAUAAGCAUUUGGAAUGAUUCUUCCUGACCAGAAUACACAGAUGGCAUGUUUGGCUCUUUGACAAUGGCAGAAUCUGGGAACUAACACAGAAGGCUAUUCCCUGAAGCAAAAUGGAUUGAUCCAGAUGCAGAAAGCAAAACAGAUCAUCAUGAUGGAGACAAGGGGUAAGCAUAGAAACAGAUGCAAGUUUCUUUUACUUUGUCUGAAAGAAACACAAAAUGGAAUUCUUAGAGGAGCAUCCCCUGGAAACCACAACUGAAAUCUCUACAUCCACUUCAAAAGACUCAUGCUAACUAUGAACUGUUGAAGUAGAAUUGUGUCUGAUGUGUGCACAUAUAUGUAUAUCUGCAUGUAGUUUGUUGAGUGACUAGUGAUCAAACAUGUGUAAGUACCUGUUAAACUUGUGCAAGUAAACAUACAUACAUGUACAUCUCAUAAAGUUACACAUAUGCAGAGACAAGAGGCCAAUGUCUAUGAAGCCUUCUCUGGAAAACCCCAUUCUAUAUCUAAACAUUAGACCCAUCUCUUCCUUCCCUGUGUCUAAAUCCAAGCACUUCCUGUACUUUCUUUGGAUACUUUGACUUUGGUUAUUUGUGCUUCUGACCCCCCUCGAUCAACACUUUAUCUCCUGCUCAUGCCUUAUCUCACCCCAACUGUUAUCUCAGUCAAUUGGAUCUAACCUACAGCACCUGACCUCUGGCUGACUUCAGGACCCCAAUGAGUUCCAAACUGAUGCCCCCCCCCCCCAUCUUACAUUGUCUGGUUCAACCCAGCCAGGCAAAACACACUCACACACCACAGUAAAGGCAAAUCUGGAACACUCCAAUACUAUUUAUG